GAUGAACGCUGGCGGCGUGCCUAAUACAUGCAAGUCGAGCGAACAGACGAGGAGCUUGCUCCUCUGACGUUAGCGGCGGACGGGUGAGUAACACGUGGAUAACCUACCUAUAAGACUGGGAUAACUUCGGGAAACCGGAGCUAAUACCGGAUAAUAUAUUGAACCGCAUUGUUCAAUAGUGAAAGACGGCUUUGCUGUCACUUAUAGCUGGAUCCGCGCCGCAUUAGCUAGUUGGUAAGGUAACGGCUUACCAAGGCAACGAUGCGUAGCCGACCUGAGAGGGUGAUCGGCCACACUGGAACUGAGACACGGUCCAGACUCCUACGGGAGGCAGCAGUAGGGUAUCUUCCGCAAUGGGCGAAAGCCUGACGGAGCAGCGCCGCGUGAGUGAUGAAGGUCUUCGGAUCGUAAAACUCUGUUAUUAGGGAAGAACAAAUGUGUAAGUAACUAUGCACGUCUUGACGGUACCUAAUCAGAAAGCCACGGCUAACUACGUG
rnacentral:rRNA from 1 species